rnacentral:lncRNA from 1 species
GUGUUUCUGAAGAUGGAGAUUAGGUAUGUAAUAAUGAGUUUUUAAUUUGAUAGAGUGUUGACUUUUAAAUUGUAAAAGUUUAAUGAGUUACUGUACGUUAAUCCCUUUAGUGUAUAAAAAUUCAACAAUUGCUGUUCAAGUGUAACUCGAAUAGUUCAAGCCCUUUCUGUGUCCGAUUUUCUCCCACACGAUGGUUAAUGUAGGCUUCGUAGAUCAGCAGAAUAUAACGACUGAAUUAUUCGGGUAAGUUCAAGUGCAUAGCAUAGCCAUCUUUAUCUUGCUGUAUCCAGAGGCAAUAUAUAUAUAUAGAGAUAUAAGAAGGGUGCCAAUGAGACAACUCUCCAUCCAAGUCACAAUUUAUAAAAGUAAAUCAUCAAAGGUCAAAGUACGGACUUCAACACGGAGCAAGACUGUUAUUAUUAAGAGAGUGAAUAAUAUUAUAUAAACAAAAUAGACAUCAUAAUUAAAAGAAAGACAGACAGUUUCUUCAUCAAAUAUAAUAAAUUUUGGUAUGAUAACUAAAAAUGUUUGAAAUUGUUUUGAAUUUGUCGUUACUUCUUUCAGAUCAGGCCUAUCCAGAAGCAAGAAAAGGAACAAUUCAUAGCACGUACAUCUACAGAGAGAGACAUGUUUUAAAAAACAGAUUUAUUUUCAAUUUUAGAAAAACCUGUUGAACUUUUACUAUUUCUUAUCUGUUUAUUUUACAUUUAUAUGUUGAUAUUUUGUUUUUUUUAAAAUUGCUGCACAGUAUUUCUAUUCAGUCCCAUAUAACAAAAUCAGCUGAAGAAAUUGAUAUUUUCAUAUUUCAAGGGAGUGUCCUUUUGCAUUGUUGAUAGCAGAUAUAAGUAUUGUCUUAAGUUGGGUUUAAAAACAGUCAGAUCGCAACUUCAAAUAAAAUACAUUUUUAUGAAUGUUAUAUGUCAUUAAAUAGACAUGAAAGAUGGAAAAUUAUAUAGGAACA